rnacentral:rRNA from 1 species
CACUCCUACGGGAGGCAGCAGUGGGGAAUAUUGCACAAUGGGCGCAAGCCUGAUGCAGCCAUGCCGCGUGUAUGAAGAAGGCCUUCGGGUUGUAAAGUACUUUCAGCGGGGAGGAAGGCGAUAAGGUUAAUAACCUUGUCGAUUGACGUUACCCGCAGAAGAAGCACCGGCUAACUCCGUGCCAGCAGCCGCGGUAAUACGGAGGGUGCAAGCGUUAAUCGGAAUUACUGGGCGUAAAGCGCACGCAGGCGGUCUGUCAAGUCGGAUGUGAAAUCCCCGGGCUCAACCUGGGAACUGCAUUCGAAACUGGCAGGCUAGAGUCUUGUAGAGGGGGGUAGAAUUCCAGGUGUAGCGGUGAAAUGCGUAGAGAUCUGGAGGAAUACCGGUGGCGAAGGCGGCCCCCUGGACAAAGACUGACGCUCAGGUGCGAAAGCGUGGGGAGCAAACAGGAUUAGAUACCCUAGUAGUCCCAU